UUUUGGAUUUCCCAGAUACAUGAGAUUAACUUCCCUCCCUGCUUCCGUAACCUAAUCGGCUCACUUUUGUCCACCCCCAUUUGAUUAUAUGUGUUUUCCUCUCCAAUGUCCAUCCCUAUAAACUAAUCCGUGGCAAUGGAGGUGGUUCUAGGUUGCAAAGAUUUUGAAGAUUCUAAGGCUGCAAGGACAUCAACACGCCCUGGGGCGGAUCUAUGAAGGAGGGAGGGGUAGCCCGGACUACCCCUCAACCAUCGGCGACUAAGCAGUCAGCGAGUGAACGGGUUAACGGGUCCGCGAGUUAACGAGUUUGCGAGUUAACGGGUCAGUGGGUAAAGGGUGAACUGGUCAGCGGGUUAACUAGUUAGUUACAUGUGUUUUGUUUUUUUACAACUUGUAAUCAAACUUAACUUAUCAUGCAACCAUUUUCUGCACAUUCAGGAUGAGCUACAUAGAUCAGAAGGUUCCGGAGACGUUAUAUGUGAAAAUAUGUUGGAAAAGGAGUAGAUGAAUACUCGACUGCGGAUAUGGAUGGCAUUCGCGAAGAUUGGUCGACUUAUGCGGUUACCUCUAUUUUUAAGUGACAAAUUGUAUUUUAGGUGUUGACGAUAUAUUGACAAACAAUUCUUUUUUGUGUUAAUGUUAGAAUAUUUGUAGUAUAUUUGACAAAUGAUUAUGUAAUGGAUUGUUUUGGUAUAUAAUA